GAUGAACGCUGGCGGCGUGCUUAACACAUGCAAGUCGAACGAAGCACUUUAUUACGAUUUCUUCGGAAUGACGAUCUAGUGACUGAGUGGCGGACGGGUGAGUAACGCGUGGGUAACCUGCCUCAUACAGGGGGAUAACAGUUGGAAACGGCUGCUAAUACCGCAUAAGCACACAGCAUCGCAUGAUGCAGUGUGAAAAACUCCGGUGGUAUGAGAUGGACCCGCGUCUGAUUAGCUGGUU
rnacentral:rRNA from 1 species